rnacentral:rRNA from 1 species
UAUCCACAUAGAAACACCCGAUUCGCGAAGGGCAGGGUGACCCAACCAUGUACUUGACCGCUGAUGGACGAAAGGCGUGGGUAGCGAACGGGAUUAGAUACCCCCGGUAGUCCCACGCCGUAAACGAUGGAUACCUAGGCUGUGGGGACUUCCGGUCUCCCGUGGCCCAAGCGAAAGUGAUAAGUAUCCCCACCUGGGGAGUACCGUUCCGCAAGAAUGAAACUCAAAGGGAAUUGACGGGGGCCCGCACAAGGCGGUGGAGCCAUGUGGUUUAAUUCCGAUGAUACGCGAGGAACCUUACCAGGGCUUAAAUGCAGGCUGCAUAAGCUAGAGAUAGCUUUUUCUUCGGACUGCCUGCAAGGUGCUGCAUGGUUGUCGUCAGCUCGUGCCGUGAGGUGUCAGGUUAAGUCCUAUAACGAGCGCAACCCCUACCGUUAGUUGCCAGCAUGUAAAGAUGGGGACUCUAACGGGACUGCCGGUGCAAACCGUGAGGAAGGUGGGGACGACGUCAAAUCAUCACGGCCCUUACGUCCUGGGCUACACA